ACCAGACUCCUACGGGAGGCAGCAGUGGGGAAUAUUGCACAAUGGGGGAAACCCUGAUGCAGCGACGCCGCGUGAGUGAAGAAGUAAUUCGUUAUGUAAAGCUCUAUCAGCAGGGAAGAAAAUGACGGUACCUGAGUAAGAAGCCCCGGCUAACUACGUGCCAGCAGCCGCGGUAAUACGUAGGGGGCAAGCGUUAUCCGGAUUUACUGGGUGUAAAGGGCGUGUAGGCGGGACUGCAAGUCAGAUGUGAAAAUUAUGGUCUCAACCCAUAACCUGCAUUUGAAACUGUAGUUCGUGAGUGAUGGAGAGGCAGGCGGAACUCCGUGUGUAGCGGUGAAAUGCGUAGAUAUACGGAGGAACACCAGUGGCGAAGGCGGCCUGCUGGACAUUAACUGACGCUGAGGCGCGAAAGCGUGGGGAGCAAACAGGAUUAGAUACCCCUGUA
rnacentral:rRNA from 1 species